rnacentral:rRNA from 1 species
GUCUUUUUGAAUUUAAUUUAAAGUCUAAUCUGCUCUAUGAAUAAUUAUUUAAAUGGCUGCAGUAUUUUGACUGUACAAAGGUAGCAUAAUAAUUAGUCUUUUAAUUGGAGGCUGGAAUGAAUGAUUGGAUGAGAUAUAGUCUGUCUUUUUAUAGAUAUUAUUUUAAUUUAAUUUUUAAGUCAAAAAGCUUAAAUAAUUUUAAAGGACGAGAAGACCCUAUAGAGUUUUAUAUUUAAAUUUAUUUAAUAAUUUAAAUUAUUUUUAAAUUUAUUUAAUUUUAUUUUAUUGGGGCGAUAGAAAAAUUAAUUAAACUUUUUUAUAAUAAUUACAUAGAUGAGUGAAUUUUUGAUCCUUUUUUUAAGAUUAUUAGAUUAAAUUACCUUAGGGAUAACAGCGUAAUUUUUUUUAGAGUUCUUAUCGAUAAUAAAGAUUGCGACCUCGAUGUUGGAUUAAAAAUUAAUUUAGGUGAAGAAGCUUAAAUGUUGAGUCUGUUCGACUUUUAAAAUUUUACA